AUGGUUUUGCUGAACGAUGUGUCGAGUGCCUUGCUCUGUAACAACAUCGACCUGCCAGAAAUUCUGAUUGGUUCCUGCGACCACAGUGACACAGGCAUAACAGGCCUUUGUGAUUCACUGAAAAAUUUAGUGAUGCGGGCAGUGAGUCAGAGGUUUGGAACCUCCUCUUCUUCCCUUUCUUCAUAAGACUGUACGACUCGGUCGAGCACCCUUAUCUUCCUCUCCUGUCUCCCUCUACUGAACCAGUGGAGCAGAAAGUUAACCAUUACGGACCGCUGAGAUCCAACCAGAGAUCAUGUUGGGCAAAUGCAUAAACACUAUGGAGCACUGUCCGAGCAGCAGAUAUAUGGAACAGCAGAUCCCAGGAACAACAUCGGAGAUCUCUGUCCAGAAGAGCACAGUCCUGGGAACAGCUAAGAUACUGCGCAGGAUCCUCAAGCUCCCAGGCCUGAGGACCCGAGCUUGAAGGAAAAAGACCGCCCGCAAGGGCGAGCGGGGAAUUUUUUUUUUUUUU